CAGAGUUAUCCAACUCCCAAACCCAUGUGAACUUAUCUCUUGUUGCCUCGGCGCAAGCUACCCCGGACCUCGCGCCCCGGGCGGCCCGCCGGCGGACAAACCAAAACUCUUGUUAUCUUAGUUGAUUAUCUGAGUGUCUUAUUUAAUAAGUCA
rnacentral:misc_RNA from 1 species